rnacentral:rRNA from 1 species
UACGUAGGGGGCAAGCGUUGUCCGGAAUUAUUGGGCGUAAAGGGCGCGUAGGUGGCGGGACAAGCGUGCGGUGAAAGCUCGGGGCUCAACCCCGAGUCGGCCGUGCGAACUGUUUUGCUGGAGCGCUGUAGAGGCAGGCGGAAUUCCGGGUGUAGCGGUGGAAUGCGUAGAGAUCCGGAAGAACACCGGUGGCGAAGGCGGCCUGCUGGGCAGUUGCUGACACUGAGCGCGACGAG